rnacentral:snRNA from 1 species
GUCAAAUGUCCAUUGACGCCUU